CUGAGAUGGUGAAUGGACAUUUGUUAUCUAACCAGCGUUUUCUGUAGGAUGUUAACUAGAGGGACAUCAAUGAGGAGGUUAAUCUCCCGGUUGUGAACCAUAUCCUGGUUGUGAUAAUAUCUGGCAUAUGAUGUUAACCGGGUCAUGCAUGUCCCUGUUUACGUGAUCAUAACAGAUGUUUCUUAAUUUCUCACCAUCUCAGUCAGAACGAAGAAACCAGGAUCAGCCACAGUAUCCAGAUUUCUAACCUGACAUUCACUUAUUGGUUUGGUUCCAGUUUCCUUUUUUACUCCAAUGUUAUAAAAAGACAGCUAAAGCUAUAAAGGCUGUUCUUAUAUUUCUACUCUGAGUAAAGACUUAAAGGUGCAGUGUGUAAGAUUUGGCAAGAAUUACCAGUAUGAAACAGAAUGUGAAGUAGUCACAGCUCUGACGUCUUGUCAAAGAUGUUUAUGUGUUGUGUUGCAGAGAUAUCUACUGAACACCAGGUCUCUCAUACCAAAACCUUGGAGUUGCACAUUGUACCUUUAAAGACCUUGUAAAAGGUCAGAAUCGGCAGCUUUAAUGCAGUUAUUUCUAAAUGUUCUAUACGAUGAGUCAUUCAUAAUAAGUUCUAAGUAGAACUGCGGCUUCAGAGUCUUUUACUGUUUUAACUUCAACCAGCCUCACUCUAAAAUAAAUGAAUGAGUGAAUGAAUGAGCUGGAUGUGUCUGAAACCGCUCCGUCUGAAGCCUUUCUGCUGAGUGACUUUCAUGCAAUCUGUCGGCCAGAGUGUGUGUGGGCGGCGGGUGGAUGUGUUCCUGAUCAUAUUAACCGGCAGUGAAUGAAGACGACAAAGGUUCCCUGCAGUUACUAGCUUUCCGAUUGUAAAGCAGAGCACGUAUCCAGGCAACGAGGGCGAAGAAAAUGAGCUACAGCUGAUGUAACGAACACACAUACAGGUAUACACAAGCUGACACCUGGAUCAGGCUGACCUACUUUCCAUCUCUAACAGGACAUGAUGGAGGACGUCUCCGCUCGUGAUCCUGAAUCACAGCUGUUAAUUAUGUAACCGAGCCCACGUACUCCCGCUGAAGGGAAACUAGGCGACUGUCAGAAACCCACGUCCUGCCUGCUGAAUACAAACUGCACUGGACAACCUUCAACUUCAGCGUGCAGUCACAGAGUAUAAUCACUGAGAUUUUACUGGCAGCAGUGGUCAGAGUCGCUGUGCUCCUUCAGCAGCUACACGGAUUUUAAACCUCCUCUCCUAAAGCUCUUUAUGCCGAAUAGCUGUUGGCAUCGAACUCCUCACUCUCUCCUCCCCGUCUGAACUAGCUGCCAAGGUAGUUGGUAUCUGCAGCAGGUUGGUUCUUCCUGCAGAAACUACCUGCAUACAGUUUUGCAGUGCUCACAUGGCGCCGGAUGAGGAAGCUCUUCAAGUGGCUGCUCAAAAAAACUCCCUGAAAACUCUUCCUGGUGGUGCGUUCAAGGACGCUUUGACGUCUAAGCUCUCUGAGUCAGCCUAACGGCAAUGCUUUUGAUAAAACAAAUAAAAUAAAAUGAUCUGUU